rnacentral:rRNA from 1 species
UACGUAGGGCGCAAGCGUUAUCCGGAAUUACUGGGCGUAAAGAGUGUGUAGGCGGUUUCGUAAGUUUGGUGUGAAAUCUCCCGGCUUAACUGGGAGGGUGCGCCGAAAACUGCGAGGCUUGAGUACUGGAGAGGAGAGCGGAAUUCCUGGUGUAGCGGUGAAAUGCGUAGAUAUCAGGAGGAACACCGGUGGUGUAGACGGCUCUCUGGACAGUCACUGACGCUGAGACACGAAAGCGUGGGGAGCAAACAGG